rnacentral:rRNA from 1 species
UAUACGACCGUACCGCAAACCGACACUGGUGCGCGAGAUGAGUAUUCUAAGGCGCUUGAGAGAACUCAGGAGAAGGAACUCGGCAAAUUGACACCGUAACUUCGGAAGAAGGUGUGCCCUAUUAGUGUGUAGUGAACAACGAAGCAUGAAUGGGUUGCAAAAAAUCGGUGGCUGCGACUGUUUAUUAAAAACACAGCACUCUGCAAACACGAAAGUGGACGUAUAGGGUGUGACGCCUGCCCGGUGCUGGAAGAUUAAAUGAUGGGGUGCAAGCUCUUGAUUGAAGUCCCAGUAAACGGCGGCCGUAACCAUAACGGUCCUAAGGUAGCGAAAUUCCUUGUCGGGUAAGUUCCGACCUGCACGAAUGGCGUAACGAUGGCCACACUGUCUCCUCCUGAGACUCAGCGAAGUUGAAAUGUUUGUGAUGAUGCAAUCUCCCCGCGGAAAGACGGAAAGACCCCAUGAACCUUUACUGUAGCUUUGUAUUGGACUUUGAACAGAUCUGUGUAGGAUAGGUGGGAGGCUUUGAAGCAGGGUCGCUAGAUCUUGUGGAGCCAACGUUGAAAUACCACCCUGGUGUGUUUGAGGUUCUAACCUAGGUCCAUUAUCUGGAUCGGGGACAGUGCAUGGUAGGCAGUUUGACAGGGGCGGUCUCCUCCCAAAGCGUAACGGAGGAGUUCGAAGGUACGCUAGUUACGGUCGGACAUCGUGACGAUAGUGCAAUGGCAUAAGCGUGCUUAACUGCGAGACUGACAAGUCGAGCAGAUGCGAAAGCAGGACAUAGUGAUCCGGUGGUUCUGUAUGGAAGGGCCAUCGCUCAACGGAUAAAAGGUACUCUGGGGAUAACAGGCUGAUACCGCCCAAGAGUUCAUAUCGACGGCGGUGUUUGGCACCUCGAUGUCGGCUCAUCUCAUCCUGGGGCUGUAGCCGGUCCCAAGGGUAUGGCUGUUCGCCAUUUAAAGAGGUACGUGAGCUGGGUUUAAAACGUCGUGAGACAGUUUGGUCCCUAUCUUCCGUGGGCGCUGCAGAUUUGAGGAAGCCUGCUCCUAGUACGAGAGGACCGGAGUGGACACACCUCUGGUGUAUCGGUUGUCACGCCAGUGGCAUUGCCGAGUAGCUAAGUGUGGAAGAGAUAACCGCUGAAAGCAUCUAAGCGGGAAACUCGUUUCAAGAUGAGAUCUGCCGGGGCCUUGAGCCCCCUAAAGAGUCGUUCAAGACCAGGACGUUGAUAGGUCAGGUGUGGAAGUG